rnacentral:sRNA from 1 species
AAAAAGUCGAUGACCUGGUAAGUGGCGGAAGUGACCGUCCAUAUUGGUUCC